AAUAAAAGGUGAUGUGAUGGAAGCAUUAGAGGAUUUUUUUAUGUAAAAUUUUUUUCAAGUCAAUCAAUGCUUCUUUUAUAUCCCUUAUAUUGAAACAUGAGAACCCAAUUAAUCCUAAUGAUUUCAUAACAAUUUCCUUAACAAGUUGUAUGUACAAUGUAAUAGUCAACAUUUUGGCUAUGAUUGAGAAAUGUGAUGGAUGAAAUCAUAUCAAAACAUCAAUUUGCAUUCAUCCAUGAUCGAUUAUUAUUUGAUUAUGUCGUAAUAGCUAGUGAAGUGGUGAAUUUCAUGAGGAGAUAG
rnacentral:lncRNA from 1 species